GGAUUUGUCAGUUGGUCGGGCUUCACUGUUCGUAUUGCUUGAUGGAUUCAUACCUGAAUAACCAGCAUGCUAUUAAGUUAGUGCGUUGGGGAAGCAGAUCUAUUACCUUGAAAAACUUAGUGCUUAAAGAUUAGUAUGGAAUAAUAAAAUAGGACGGCAUGGUUCUAUUUUGUUGGUUUCUAGGAUCACCGUA
rnacentral:rRNA from 1 species